AGUUGGAGUAGCUCAGUUGGUUAGAUUGGUGGCUCUUAAAGCACAAGGCCGAAGGUUCGAGCCCUUCCUCCACUA